rnacentral:lncRNA from 1 species
CAUAUGAUGAGGUGAGUGUAGGCAACGACGAUAGCUAUACAUCGUAUCAUCGUGAGGCUAUUCUUGAACCCCUUCACACACUAAGCAUGGUGGGAAGAACUUAACUAAGUGAAAUGGAGCCAACAUCAUAUCAUUGUGAGGUGACAUUCUCUAGAGGCCAAAUAAGAUGGGUACUUGCAUUAGUUGCAAAUGAGUAAGUGUACUCUCUCAUUAUUAUUGUUGCUAGCCAUACAUCGUAUCAUCGUGAGGUGGGCUUGGUAAUAGUGAGCCUCCC